UGUGUGGUUAUCUGCAGGCCCUAACCAUGCCUUUACUCUAAGGUGGCAGUCCUAGUACUGUGUGGCCACGUACAUGUCAAUGAAACAAAACUGAAGCAUAUCACCCAAGGUUGAGAGGCUGCAUCAACCCACUACCUUCUUUGAUGAUGAUAAUUUUUUUUCUUGAAUCUGUGGAGUGAUGUCCGUGACAGUCAGGAGAGAAAUGAAUUUCUUUAUUGCAAGAAAUCAUGAUUAUUUAUUGAACUGGAAAGCAGGCAGGCCGAUGCUCCAUUGAAUGCUGUGAACAACAUGUUGACAGAAAAAAGGAAUGUGCAAUGGAGAUUGUUAAUAUGGAAAUAUCCUAAGAUACGGCAUGCCAUUUGAGAAAAUAAAUGAAAUAUACUUUGGUAUGGAAGAUAAUUA
rnacentral:lncRNA from 1 species